UUCACUUGUUGGCACGUUAGUAACCACCAGC
rnacentral:piRNA from 1 species